GGAGGGUGCAAGCGUUAAUCGGAAUUACUGGGCGUAAAGCGUGCGUAGGCGGUUUAUUAAGUCAGAUGUGAAAGCCCCGGGCUUAACCUGGGAACUGCAUUUGAAACUGGUCAACUAGAGUAUGGUAGAGGAAAGUGGAAUUUCUGGUGUAGCGGUGAAAUGCGUAGAUAUCAGAAGGAACAUCAAUGGCGAAGGCAACUUUCUGGACCAAUACUGACGCUGAGGUACGAAAGCGUGGGUAGCAAACAGGAUUAGAUACCCUGGUAGUCCACGCCGUAAACGAUGAUAACUAGCCGUUGGGGGGAUUUACCCCUUAGUGGCGAAGCUAACGCGUUAAGUUAUCCGCCUGGGGAGUACGGCCGCAAGGUUAAAACUCAAAGGAAUUGACGGGGACCCGCACAAGCGGUGGAGCAUGUGGUUUAAUUCGAUGCAACGCGAAGAACCUUACCUGGUCUUGACAUCCUGAGAACUUUCUAGAAAUAGAUUGGUGUCUUCGGGAACUCAAUGACAGGUGCUGCAUGGCUGUCGUCAGCUCGUGUCGUGAGAUGUUGGGUUAAGUCCCGUAACGAGCGCAACCCCUAUCCUUAUUUGCCAGCACAUCAUGGUGGGAACUAUAAGGAGACUGCCGGUGAUAAACCGGAGGAAGGCGGGGACGACGUCAAGUCAUCAUGGCCCUUACGACCAGGGCUACACACGUGCUACAAUGGGAAGGACAAAGAGCCGCGAAGCCGCGAGGUGUAGCUAAUCUCAGAAACCUUUUCGUAGUCCGGAUUGGAGUCUGCAACUCGACUCCAUGAAGUCGGAAUCGCUAGUAAUCGUAGAUCAGAAUGCUACGGUGAAUACGUUCCCGGGUCUU
rnacentral:rRNA from 1 species